UUCAAUGACGAUUCAGGCAGGGGAGGCUUACGCCUCGCCGGAUGUUGAUGCCGGUACUGAGAAUCCUUGUUUGAAUCGUCGCCACA
rnacentral:antisense_RNA from 1 species